GCAGGCCUAAUACAUGCAAGUCGAACGGUAACAGAAGAGAGCUUGCUCUCUUGCUGACGAGUGGCGGACGGGUGAGUAACGCUUGGGAAUCUACCUAGUAGUGGGGGACAACACGGGGAAACUCGUGCUAAUACCGCAUACGUCCUACGGGAGAAAGUGGGGGAUCUUCGGACCUCACGCUAUUAGAUGAGCCCAAGUCGGAUUAGCUUGUUGGUGAGGUAACGGCUCACCAAGGCGACGAUCCGUAGCUGGUUUGAGAGGAUGACC
rnacentral:rRNA from 1 species